AUCUAUGGCCAUACCACCCUGAACGCACCCUAUCUCGUCUGUUCUGGAAAGCUACUCAGGGUCGGGCCUUGUUAGUACUUGGAUGGGAGACCGCCUGGGAAUGCCGGGUGCAGUAGGUU
ensembl:rRNA 5S_rRNA 5S ribosomal RNA